rnacentral:misc_RNA from 1 species
AUUCAGUUAACUUUUAUGAAAAAAUUGAUAUACUGAAUGUAUGGGUCUUCUGCACAAUCAUUCUCUAAAAACCAGUUUUGGGCUUAUGAGUUCAAUGCAGAUUUGAAUGCAUGCUCUCAUGGGCACGUAGGCAUGUGCAGGUGCAUUUAGGCUUACACAUACACUUGGUCCAUCUGAGCCAAUAGGAUUCCUUGUGUUUUGGUUCACCAUGAACUAGGUCUAGGCAAAAAUGAAGAAAGAGAGCGAGAGAGAGCGAGAACAUGUUUCUAGGAUAUCAUGGUUGAUUUAUAAAUUAUAUUAUAUGUUUAAUUUCUUUCAUGUAAAAGUUCAGAGAAUAUUUAUGAUCGUUAUGUCUUGGAAAUUACAAGUGCAGGUUCCACAAGUAACAGAGG